UGAAGGCAUUUCCAAAAGACAGACAACAACAUUUAUUUUGUUAACACUAGUAGACUUUGGGAAUAUUUUUCUCUGCAACUUGCCAACAAGAAAAAAACUCAUAAUUAUCCAGAAUGAAGCUAAUUGUCAAGAAUGAAGCUAAUUGACCUCUGUGCGCGUCUUUGAUCCGAAUAGUUGAAGAUGUUGACUUGCAUGGAUGAGCAUAAAGACACAGAUAAUGUCGCUGCAACCCCCCGAGCACGACGACUGCGGCUCCUCUUGAUUAUAAAUGAACAUGACCGGUCAGGCUGUGCUGCUGUGGACCUGUUUAUGAAGGAAGAAGAGCGAGGAAGGGACAUCACAUACUCGCUCGCGCGGUCAGGAGCGUCGCCUCGCGGGAAAGAUGCCAGUGUUCUGACAGAAAUCACGCGCUACAUUAGAGUACGAGUCUGGAAACCGCUCACACAUACAUGCAAACAGAAUUAGCACAUGCAUGGUCUGCUUUUUUCUGAGACAAUGAAUGAAAUGAACGAUGCACUUCCUGAGCGAUAGCAUUGGUCUCUAAUUGAAA